GGUCCUAUGGUCAAGCGGCUAAGACGCAACCCUCUCAAGGUUGAAUCGCGGGUUCGAUUCCCGCUAGGAUCACCA
rnacentral:tRNA from 3 species